AUGAACGCUGGCGGCGUGCCUAAUACAUGCCAGUCGAGCGAACGGACGAGAAGCUUGCUUCUCUGAUGUUAGCGGCGGACGGGUGAGUAACACGUGGAUAACCUACCUAUAAGACUGGGAUAACUUCGGGAAACCGGAGCUAAUACCGGAUAAUAUUUUGAACCGCAUGGUUCAAAAGUGAAAGACGGUCCUGCUGUCACUUAUAGAUGGAUCCGCGCUGCAUUAGCUAGUUGGUAAGGUAACGGCUUACCAAGGCAACGAUGCAUAGCCGACCUGAGAGGGUGAUCGGCCACACUGGAACUGAGACACGGUCCAGACUCCUACGGGAGGCAGCAGUAGGGAAUCUUCCGCAAUGGGCGAAAGCCUGACGGAGCAACGCCGCGUGAGUGAUGAAGGUCUUCGGAUCGUAAAACUCUGUUAUUAGGGAAGAACAUAUGUGUAAGUAACUGUGCACAUCUUGACGGUACCUAAUCAGAAAGCCACGGCUAACUACGUG
rnacentral:rRNA from 1 species